AACGAACGCUGGCGGCAUGCCUAACACAUGCAAGUCGAACGAUCCCUUCGGGGAUAGUGGCGCACGGGUGCGUAACGCGUGGGAACCUGCCCUUAGGUUCGGAAUAACUCAGAGAAAUUUGAGCUAAUACCGGAUAAUGUCUUCGGACCAAAGAUUUAUCGCCUUUGGAUGGGCCCGCGUUGGAUUAGCUAGUUGGUGGGGUAAAGGCCUACCAAGGCGACGAUCCAUAGCUGGCCUGAGAGGAUGAUCAGCCACACUGGGACUGAGACACGGCCCAGACUCCUACGGGAGGCAGCAGUGGGGAAUAUUGGACAAUGGGCGAAAGCCUGAUCCAGCAAUGCCGCGUGAGUGAUGAAGGCCUUAGGGUUGUAAAGCUCUUUUACCCGGGAUGAUAAUGACAGUACCGGGAGAAUAAGCCCCGGCUAACUCCGUG
rnacentral:rRNA from 1 species